GGCGAACGCUAGCGGCGCGCUUAACACAUGCAAGUCGCGCGAGAAAGGGCUUCGGCCCCGGUAAAGCGGCGCACGGGUGAGUAACACGUAGGUGAUCUACCCCCAGGUGGUGGAUAACGUUCCGAAAGGAGCGCUAAUACAGCAUGAGACCACGACCCCGAGAGGGGAUGAGGUCAAAGCCGGCCUCUUCACGAAAGCUGGCGCCAGGGGAUGAGCCUGCGGCCCAUCAGCUAGUUGGUAGGGUAAUGGCCUACCAAGGCGAAGACGGGUAGCUGGUCUGAGAGGAUGAUCAGCCACACUGGAACUGAGACACGGUCCAGACUCCUACGGGAGGCAGCAGUGGGGAAUCUUGCGCAAUGGGCGAAAGCCUGACGCAGCGACGCCGCGUGAGAGAUGAAGGCCUUCGGGUUGUAAAGCUCUGUGGAGGGGGACGAAUAAGUGUUGGCUAACAUCCAGCAUGAUGACGGUACCCCUUUAGCAAGCACCGGCUAACUCUGUGCCAGCCGCCGCAGUAAUAC
rnacentral:rRNA from 1 species